rnacentral:rRNA from 1 species
AAGCUUAUCCUUUGCUUGAUGAUUCGAUAAAUAAAUGAUUUUUUCCUGUAGCCAAACACCUCGUCAUCAAUUUAGUGACGCAUAUGAUAUUGUCCCUAUCAUAUAAUUUUUGAUAUAAAGACUUUAAAGAAUUGUAUCAAGUUGCCAAACACCUCGUCAUCAAUUUAGUGACGCAUAUGAUAUUGUCCCUAUCAUAUAAUUAAUAUAAAGACUUUAA